GAGUUUGAUUCUGGCUCAGAUUGAACGCUGGCGGCAUGCUUUACACAUGCAAGUCGAACGGCAGCACAAGGAGCUUGCUCCUGGGUGGCGAGUGGCGAACGGGUGAGUAAUGUAUCGGAACGUGCCUGGUAGUGGGGGAUAACUACUCGAAAGAGUGGCUAAUACCGCAUGAGAUCUUUGGAUGAAAGUGGGGGACCUUCGGGCCUCGCGCUACUGGAGCGGCCGAUAUCAGAUUAGGUUGUUGGUGGGGUAAAGGCCUACCAAGCCUGCGAUCUGUAGCUGGUCUGAGAGGACGACCAGCCACACUGGGACUGAGACACGGCCCAGACUCCUACGGGAGGCAGCAGUGGGGAAUUUUGGACAAUGGGCGCAAGCCUGAUCCAGCAAUGCCGCGUGCAGGANG
rnacentral:rRNA from 1 species